UUUUAAAAAAAUUGAAAGUGUUAUUCAAUAGUGCAAAUGGAUUUUUAAAAAUUAUAUAAACUUGAUUUGCUACAAUAGUUGAGAGAUUGAACAAAAUUGGUUUUGAGAGAAGGUUAACUGAUUGCGGAAGACAUGAAAGAGUGGGUGGAAAAUAAAUGACUCUAUAACCGUAUGUUUUCGUUAUUUGUAGUUUCUUAUUG
rnacentral:lncRNA from 1 species